rnacentral:rRNA from 1 species
GAUGAACGCUGGCGGCGUGCCCAAUACAUGCAAGUCGAGCGAACGGGCGAGAAGCUUGCUUCUCUGAUGUUAGCGGCGGACGGGUGAGUAACACGUGGAUAACCUACCUAUAAGACUGGGAUAACUUCGGGAAACCGGAGCUAAUACCGGAUAAUAUUUUGAACCGCAUGGUUCAAAAGUGAAAGACGGUCUUGCUGUCACUUAUAGAUGGAUCCGCGCUGCAUUAGCUAGUUGGUAAGGUAACGGCUUACCAAGGCAACGAUGCAUAGCCGACCUGAGAGGGUGAUCGGCCACACUGGAACUGAGACACGGUCCAGACUCCUACGGGAGGCAGCAGUAGGGAAUCUUCCGCAAUGGGCGAAAGCCUGACGGAGCAACGCCGCGUGAGUGAUGAAGGUCUUCGGAUCGUAAAACUCUGUUACUAGGGAAGAACAUAUGUGUAAGUAACUGUGCACAUCUUGACGGUACCUAAUCAGAAAGCCACGGCUAACUACGUG